AACCGGUUCCCGUACGAUCACCAAAGUUAAGCUAUGUUGAGCCUGGUUAGCACCUAAAUGGGUAACAACUUGGGAAUACCAGGUGCU